rnacentral:lncRNA from 1 species
UCUAAUACUUUAGAGUACAAAAUUCGGGACUAAUCCCGUACACAACUCAAACAAUACAAAAAAAGACAUAAAAGAACAUAUUGGGUAUUGUCCUCGAAUCUAUGAGGACUCACCAAGUCUUCAUCUUCAACACUUAGAAACCUAUCAAAGCCAUGACAUGUCAUCAUCUCCAAAUCCCUACACUUUAGUUAAAAAGGGAAAGAAAGGGGUUAGCACAAUUAAGUACGCCAUGCAAAAACAUGCAAAAAGGGACGUUCAUUGGAGAAACAUGCUUUUAUGCCAAUUGGUAAACUUCAUGAAAAAAAUACAAGUAAGCUUUUUUAUCAUUUCUUGACCUCUAUCUCAAGUUACCCAAAGCCACACUUAAGUGAAACAUGAAGUGACCGCCCAUACAAUCUCUUCAUAUACACCUAAGUAUUCCUAAGGGUUACCAUAGAUAAGGAAAUUUACCAUUACAAUAUAACAUACUAAGUCAAUGUUCACAUAUAAAACCAUAGCCAACCGUAUACAUACUCAACAUAUAUUCAUAUACAACCCAUGCUUAAAUUUAAAGGAACACAUGCCAUUUCAUUACCAUAGGACCUCUACCUAAUAUAACCUUAAGACACACUUGAGUGAGACAAGAAGUGACCGCCCAUACAACCUCUUCAAGCACACUUAAGUGUUCCUCAAGAUUACCUUAGAUAAGGACAUUUCCUUUACAACAUAACAUCAAUAGACAAACCUUCUUUAAGAAACCAUUUUGGAGACAUUCAAGCACAUAAGGGGACUUUCACAUAAUAGUCGUUAGACUUAGGGAACUCACUUUAGUAUCUUCAAAGCCUACUCGUGCCAUGUGUAGAUAGCAUCCCAUACUACUACCUACACGUUGUAGAACCUAUCCAAUAACUAGAGUGCACAUCCCACAUGAUGGGAAUAGGCAUAACCGACAUAGACCAUACUAGCUAGGUAUGGAAUCCGGAGUCUAUCCUACUCCGUGGAGGUUGUUCUACUUGCCAAAGGUAGAACUAGUAAGCAACCCAUGUAGGCACAUGGUUUAGGGGAUGUCCAAGGAAGUUCAUUGUGCCUAAUCUCAUACUCAACUAGGCCACCUUCCUAACCACAUCCACUCGGUGCUAGCCUUGUUUCCCAUAGAGUAUUCAAUCACAUAUGUACUUAGAGAAGGUUCCUUUUCUAGUUCAACCAACUCAUAGUACCUCUUCCCAAGAAAGGCCCCAUUUCUUAGUCAUGGCCAAUCAAGGUUCAUAAGGAUAGCUCAUUAAAUCCCCCUGGAAGGGUGCCUUAGGCCUACCGAUUUUUCAUUAAGGGUGCCUUAAGCCUGCCGGUCCAAGGUUCAUCAUUUCACACAUGAGAAGGGCUACCACCAUUAGGUCUACCGAUUUCAUGGUUUUACAUUUACUUAGGAAAGCUAGACUUAUGAAAGGGCACCAUUUCUUAGUUUUGCCCAUUUCACACAUUCAUGCAUUCAAGACUUUAAGUAACAAGGAGGGACACUUUAGUCUACCAACCAAGUCACAACAUUUUCAUUUAAGGAUACUUCAUAAUCCAACAUCAUUUCAUAUAUACAUCAUGAGAAAUCAUACUUUAACUCACAAUGCUAUCCACUUUACAUAGGAUCAUCACAAGAUCACAUAAACUCAUUCACAUCAUACCUUCACAUAUAGCUUCACAUAAAACUCAUUCACAUCAUUCCUUCACAUAUAGCUUCACAUAAAACUCAUUCACAUCAUUCCUUCACAUAUAGCUUCACAUAAAACUCAUUCACAUCAUUCCUUCACAUAUAGCUUCACAUAAAACUCAUUCACAUCAUUCCUUCACAUAUAGCUUCACAUAAAACUCAUUCACAUCAUUCCUUCACAUAUAGCUUCACAUAAAACUCAUUCACAUCAUUCCUUCACAUAUAGCUUCACAUAAAACUCAUUCACAUCAUUCCUUCACAUAUAGCUUCACAUAAAACUCAUUCACAUCAUUCCUUCACAUAUAGCUUCACAUAAAACUCAUUCACAUCAUUCCUUCACAUAUAGCUUCACAUAAAACUCAUUCACAUCAUUCCUUCACAUAUAGCUUCACAUAAAACUCAUUCACAUCAUUCCUUCACAUAUAGCUUCACAUAAAACUCAUUCACAUCAUUCCUUCACAUAUAGCUUCACAUAAAACUCAUUCACAUCAUUCCUUCACAUAUAGCUUCACAUAAAACUCAUUCACAUCAUUCCUUCACAUAUAGCUUCACAUAAAACUCAUUCACAUCAUUCCUUCACAUAUAGCUUCACAUAAAACUCAUUCACAUCAUUCCUUCACAUAUAGCUUCACAUAAAACUCAUUCACAUCAUUCCUUCACAUAUAGCUUCACAUAAAACUCAUUCACAUCAUUCCUUCACAUAUAGCUUCACAUAAAACUCAUUCACAUCAUUCCUUCACAUAUAGCUUCACAUAAAACUUAUUCACAUCAUUCCUUCACAUAUAGCUUCACAUAAAACUCAUUCACAUCAUUCCUUCACAUAUAUUUCUUUCUUAAAACCAUCAAUAAUCAUUAAAAAUAACAUAAAUCAUCAUUUAGAAUCAUUUAAUGCAAGAACCCAUGCUAGAAUUGAAUUUAGGUUUGUUUUUGAGUUUUUGAACAACUUUGAAAUCUUUUGAAUUGACUCUUUGAUUGAAGAAGGAAUCAAAGAUGAAGAGUCCCCAUACCUUAAUCUUGAAGAACCAAACGAAAUUGAAGAAGAAAUCAGUAGCCACCAUCAACUUAGCUCCAUCUUUCACCUUGAGCUUCCAUGGGGUCUUGAGAGAGUUUUGAGAGAGGGAGGGUUUUGAA